UUAAACGUGGCUGCACGAAAAGAAGCACAAAAAAUAGAAUGACAAAAAUGUGGUCGUUAUGUGAACUUUGAGGUAACUCUUCAUGGAAUCGCUUAACCCACACUCCAUGCAAUGUUAAGCAGAUUUGAGGCCAGAGCCAGCCAUCGUAACCACAAGAUAUGCAAAUUUUGCUGGUGCUGGUAUUGACCUGUCACAGCAAAAAUGAAAAAUCCAAGUAUAAUCGCUUGGAUAAACAGCAUCCCAUCUGAUUACCGUGGAUCUCUUCUUCUCCUUUCUUGAAAUCCCCUCUGUCCUCGUGUACGCCCAUGUGAAUAUGGGGGUAUUCACGAGUCUGAGGUUCUUUUUCCUAUCCUGCCUGGUGUCUUCCAACUAUUCUGCGGAUGGAGCACUUGUGGAAUGCCUGGCUGUAUUUCCCAGGCAUAAAGAUUUGAGACCAGAGCCAGUCAUCAAAGCAACAAAAUAUCCAAAAUUUGCUUGUGCUGUUAUUGGCUUAUUGCAACAAUCUGUCAUCAGCAACAGUAAGAAUCAUCGCUUGGAUAAUGGAGAAACUGCCGAUUUCGUCCAAGUUACGUCUUCUUCCCCUCUCUUGAAAUCCCCUCUGUCCUCGUGUACGCCCAUGUGAAUGUGGGGGUAUUCACGAGUCUGAGGCUCUUUUUCCUAUCCCUUAACUAGUAUCUUCCAACUAUUCUGCGGAUGGAGCACUUUUGGAUGUCUGGCUGUAAUUCCCAGGCAUAAAGGAAUAAUGACCAACUUGUUAGCACAAUAGAAUCGCUGUCGGACCACCACAGAUGCGCUACAGCGAUCCUCCCGUCAUGCACGGCACAAGAGAGUAUUAGAAGACCAACGCCACGCCAAUUUGUGGAUUUCGUCGAACUCAUAAAAAGUGGCGGAGUCUAUUCCCGGCCAAUGGCUAAUUUUCGCCAUUUUCCAUUUGUUUCCGAGACAGUUGGGGAUAACGCAUUAAGAAUAUACUGCGAGUCUGUGACACUUUCCAGCUUUCCAUUUUAAAAGAUAAUCUAGCCUGUAUUUUCAACUCUGCGAAAUCAUCUUAACAUGUGGACUGAAACUGAACAUUUUUUGCCUCAAUGUCGUUGCUUGCUGCAGCUUGCUGCUUGUACCGGUUGAUGUCUCAACUCAUGCAGAAACACUUCACAGCUAAAAAAGCUAUAGAUCAAUUAAUUGAACACCAGAGAGUAGAUCUUUGCUUCAGUAUUGCAAUUCUAUCUGAUCAUGAGACCUGAAGCUUAUGCUGUACAUUUUCCCAAACGUCGUCUCUUGGGGCAUGUACAGGUUCAUCUGUACGUUUCGUCAUAUGCUGAAAUACUUCAGGACAGUAAAAGUAAUUAUGGUGAUCAACUUUUUAAUCUAAGCCUAUUGAAGUCUACGCUUCUUCAUUGCAGUCAAAUGUGCACAUGGAUUUGUUGCAGCCAGCUGGCGAAAGGUGUUCCUGUUGCAGGCUUGCACCCUGUACCGUGUGUAGCUUUCGUCACAUGCAGAAACACUUCCGAACAAUUUAAAUAGGAUUAACAGCCUCUUGAGGUCUAAGCCUCUUUGUUGCAGUCCAAUGUGUACAUGAAUUUUGUGCAGUCAGCUAGUGAACUGUGUGGUGAGCUGUUGCAUUCAGACUGUGGUGCUGGUAUUGUUCGUUCAUUUAAUUGUGGACCGUUCAGUCGUUCGUUUUUCAUAAGAAAUCUGUCGCUUGUCGUAGGUGUGUAAAAUUGUGUCCACCAGGUGGCAAAGUAGGUUAGCAUUUCGUUCUUGAUGUCGAAGAAAAGUGACAUCUUAAUUUGUGCUUCUAAAUAAGUGCUUUUGUGGAAAGUACUUGUAAAGAGUAGUCAACUUUUGUUGAUGAAACAUAACAGAAAUUCUUUAUAAAAAGAUUUCCAUGGUCAGUUUUAUGUUUGUGACGGUCUGUUAAAAUAAGAAUUUAAAUCUAGAACAACGCCUCCUUUGAGCGGCCCGGACAAUCCUGAAUCCUUUAGGGUUGCCAUUCCAUCGAGGCUUAAACGAGGAUGACGCGGAGGUGUUGCCCAUUGAGGGGUUUUGGUGACAAGGAGUCACUGAACGAAACGCUAAACCAAAUAAAAAAAGUAUUAAAAAAGCACCAAACGACACGCGAUAGGUUCCGGCGGUCAUCAACUAUUCAAGAUGGUAGACCUGUCAAUGUAAAAGACAGGGGGACAGGGUCAAACAAAACACAGGUGAUAUGCUUCGUGCUGUUGAGGCUGAAUAUGAUUGGUCCACGGUAUAAUAACGGAUGCAACGUCAUCGCAAUAGCAAAUCUCUGCAGGCGAUUUGAAAUGCGAUUUUUUUUUUGUUUUUUGUUUUUUUUUGCUGGCACAACGUUGACUUCCCCAAAGACUUGAGAUUUUCUCUCCGGGUUUUGUUCUACUUUCACUUUCGUGACUAGCUUUAGCCAUGAAAGGCAUUGUACGCCCUAUAAAACACCUGUCUUGUUUACCUUUGUUUUCAUUCGCCAGUCGCAGUAUCCUUGCAUCAAUUGUUUUAUUAAUCUUUGUCUCCCAAUCGCCAAUACUAAACACGAACCAUGGCGCAUUUCCUGACUACAACGAUCCUGUUGGUCGUCGCGAUGCUGACCGUUGACGCCGCUAGACUCACCAAACGUCAAAUCGAUUUCGUUGGCGGUUUCUCACCUGCCAAGGUGGACAAUGUGGAAGUUGUGAUGAUGGCAGACUUCGCAACUACCGCCGUAUCAGCCAAUAUGAACUCCGGACCGGUAAAACUGCUCAAAAUCGUGAAAGCGGAAAUACAGGCAGUUUCGGGCACUAAGUACAAACUAAACCUCGAGAUAAGAUUGCAGUAGAAUAUUUUCAAAAAAGCCAAUUGUUCAAACGGUUCGAAAUUGAAGAUUUAUUCAUUCACUGAAUAAAUGAGUCAAAUGGCUCAAAUGUCAAUUGACCCAUCCCCAGCGACGUCAACCUGCAGAAAGAAAAAGGCCGUUUCUAUGGCCUUCAGACUCGAAGAUCGCGGAGAUAAUUACGUAAACUGGCAUGGGGUGGCGUAGAGGUUGGGUGAGAAUGACACGUUUUUCAACAUUAUCAAGCAGACCCAUCCCCAGCAACGUCUACCUAAAGAAGGAAAUAAAGGCCAGUUUGCAUUUCAAUCGAAGGUCAUGGAGAUCAUUACGAAAAGGUGUCAUACAGUGGAGAAGAGGUUGGGUGAGAAUGGGACGUUUUGCAUCAUUAUCAAGAAGGUAAAAUAGCCGCAAGGCUUGAGAGGAGGGGUGAGAAAAAGUCGUAUAAAAGGCGAGAGAAAAGUCGACAGGGAUCAGUCGAGUGAGUGUCUCCGACACGGCAACAGCUGCAUUCUUCGUCGUAAUAUCAGUUCGCAAUUAUGGGUAAAUAUUCAUUUUUAAUUUUGAUUCGUAAGUCUAUUGUAUCUUGUUUUGAGUUGUUGAUACGACUAGUAUCUUCGAAAAAUAAUAUCCAAUUGUUUAUUUUAUUGCAUAGUUAGUUAUGGAGUUGUGUUGCUGUUGGGUGUUGUAUCGUUGAUGUCGACCACGAGAGAAAAUCUUUUAGAAGGAAAGAAAAAAGGCAACGGAAGUCAAUCGAGUGAGCAUCUCCGACCAUGCAGCAGCUGCAUUCUUCGUCGUAUUAUCACUUUAUCAGGUCACAAUCACGGUCUGGCUGAUGCUGUCGUGCUGCUAUUGGUUGUUGUAUCGUCGAUGGCUGGGUGGACGGCUGGUGUUCCGAUGUCUCCUGGAUAAGGCGGAUACCAAACCGCAACGCCACCGCCUUACUACACAACAACAUACGCAACGACCAGUUACUACACCGAGGUUGCACAGUUGGGUUUACAGUUAAGCCACCAAGGAUCCAGAUUAUUACACCACAACUUGUGCUGCUCCCCGAGCUACACUACGAAAGCGCUAGAGUACUACACCGAGGCUCCCAAGUACUACACCACCAAGGCACCUGAGAUUACGCAACUACUUAUGCUGCCCCAACCAACGACACCGAGGCUUCAGCUUAUUACACAACCAAAGCUGUCGAAUUCUACACUGGAACGCCCAAGUACGACAGAAAUCAGUCUAGCUAGCUUCUCCGACACCCAACACGGCAGCCCUGAAGUUUCGAAUAAACUUCGCUUCAAACAGUGGAACGGCAAAGAAUGAAGACGAAUUCUACUGCAAUCGCGUCGAAUUGAAUAGUAAAGACAACACAUUCGUACGUGUACACCGCGUCGUUAACUUGACAUUGUUGGUCGGAAAGCCGAACUUGACGAUGGCCGUACCAUCACCUACGACAAGUGCGUUAUUGCCACAGGUAGUAAACGAAAAUCUUUUCCAAUCCCUGAGCGGUGCCCUUAAAGAUGUCCACGAGCACGUCACGCUGUCCCGCAACAUCGAUGGCGCUAACACAUGCCGAGUCCUCUAAAUGUUUAACCAAUGGACAACCGAGAAGGUGAAAGCGGAAAGUGUUAAUGUUUUGCCCAAAGCUUAUGUUGAGGCUGCAACUUUGGAAGACGACGAGGUCGCAUUGACCUUAAACGAUGGUUAAAAGAUUCUAACUAUGUCGUCGCUGUUGUCGGUUUCAACGCAAACACGGAUUUGGCUGUCGCUUCUGGUUUGGAAAUAGAUUCCAAUUUUGGUGGUUAUCGAGUCAAUACCGAGCUCGAAGCACGAUCGGCCGUCUGGCUGGCCGGAGAUGCUGCCUUCUUUUGUGAUAUCAAAUUGGGUCGUCGUCGUAGGGAAUAUCAUCACUUUGCUGUUGUAUCAGGGUGAUUGGCUGGAGAGAACAAUACUGGCAAGGAAACAUGGAUGAACAACUGCAGUGUACUCUUCCCAAGUGCAUUCUUCUUCGUAUUAUCAGUACGCAAUCGGUUGAUGAUGAUGUCGUGCUGUUGCCGUUUGUCGUAUCGUUGAAGGCUGGGUCGAUCACUGGUGUACCAAUGUCUCCUGGGUAUGGUGGAUACCAAAGCACCACACCGCUGCCUUACUACACAACGACAACAUUCGCACCAACCGGUUACUACACUGAGGCUCACAAUUACUACAUCACCAAGGCUCCAGAAUAUUACACCGCAGAUAACGCUUCCCCGAGCUACAUCAUCAAAGAUCCUGAGUACUACACCGAGGCUCCCAAGUGCUACACCACCAAGUCACCGGAGUACUACACGUAUGUUGCCCCAGCUUACUACACCGAGAGGUUUCCAAGAAUUAUUUAGUUCCUAGCUACUACACCGAGGCUCCAACUUAUUACACCACCAAAGCGGUUGAAUACUACACCGAGACACCCAAUUACUACACCACCAAGGCUCCAGAGUAUUACACCACAACUUGUGCUACCCCGAGCCACUACACCGAAGCCCCGAAGUAUUACUCUGCCCCAAGCUACACAACUGCAACUGAGGCGGCCAAGUAUUACGCAGCCCCGACUAACUACACAGCGGAUGUUCCUUCGUACUACGUUGAACCGGAAUACUACACCGAGGCUCCAGUUUACUACACCACAACCUACGCUACACCUACUACACACUACACCGAGGCCCCUAUGUACUACACUACCAAGGCACCCGAGUAUUAUAAAACUACUUACGCUGCUCCGACCAAAUACACCGAAGCUCCGAAGUAUUACUCUAUCCCGAGUUACUACACCACUAAGGCACCUGAAUAUUACACCACACCCUACGCUUCUCCAACUUACUACAGGGACGUUUCUGAAUACUAAAGUCGAAUUUUCAAUUUUAAUAAUUAUGUUCAUAUUUGUCGGUCAUAUCACAAUAAUUACUAGUCACUGGGAAUUGUUGAUCUUUAAAGAGAAAUAAAAUUUUGUUAACCUGGGUAA